rnacentral:rRNA from 1 species
UACGUAGGGGGCAAGCGUUGUCCGGAAUUAUUGGGCGUAAAGGGCGCGUAGGCGGAUAGUUAAGUCCGGUGUGAAAGAUCAGGGCUCAACCCUGAGAGUGCAUCGGAAACUGGUUAUCUUGAGGACAGGAGAGGAAAGUGGAAUUCCACGUGUAGCGGUGAAAUGCGUAGAUAUGUGGAGGAACACCAGUGGCGAAGGCGACUUUCUGGACUGUAACUGACGCUGAGGCGCGAAAGCGUGGGGAGCGAACAGG